rnacentral:rRNA from 1 species
AUUGAACGCUGGCGGCAGGCCUAACACAUGCAAGUCGAGCGAGCGGCGGACGGGUGCGUACUGUAUUGGGACUGCCCGAUAGAGGGGGAUAACUACUUGAACCGGUAGCUAAUACCGCAUACUUUCGGAUAACCCAUAUGGGAUUGGCUCGUGGUUGAGGUGAUGGCUCACCUAGGCGACGAUCCCUAGCUGGUCUGAGAGGAUGAUCAGCCGCACUGGGACUGAGACACGGCCCAGACUCCUACGGAGGCAGCAGUGGGGAAUAUUGCACAAUGGGCGCAAGCCUGAUGCAGCCAUGCCGCGUGUAUGAAGAAGGCCCUAGGGUUGUAAAGUACUUUCAGUCGGGAGGCGUUACCGGCAGAAGAAGCACCGGCUAACUCCGUGCCAGCAGCCGCGGUAAUUC